rnacentral:rRNA from 1 species
UGGGGAAUCUUGCGCAAUGGGCGAAAGCCUGACGCAGCGACGCCGCGUGAGUGAUGAAGGCCUUCGGGUUGUAAAGCUCUGUGGGGAGAGACGAAUAAGUGCAGCCUAAUACGUUGCAUGAUGACGGUAUCUCCUUAGCAAGCACCGGCUAACUCUGUGCCAGCAGCCGCGGUAAGACAGAGGGUGCAAACGUUGUUCGGAAUUACUGGGCGUAAAGCGUGUGUAGGCGGUCCACUAAGUCGGGUGUGAAAGCCCUGGGCUCAACCCAGGAAGUGCACUCGAAACUGGCGGGCUAGAGUAUCGGAGAGGUUGGUGGAAUUCUCGGUGUAGAGGUGAAAUUCGUAGAUAUCGAGAGGAACACCGGUGGCGAAGGCGGCCAACUGGACGAAUACUGACGCUG